GACGAACGCUGGCGGCGUGCUUAACACAUGCAAGUCGAACGGAAAGGCCCUGCUUUUGUUGGGUUCUCGAUUGGCGAACGGGUGAGUAACACGUGAGUAACCUGCCCUUGACUUUGGGAUAACUUCAGGAAACUGGGGCUAAUACCGGAUAGGAGCUCCUGCUGCAUGGUGGGGGUUGGAAAGUUUCGGCGGUUGGGGAUGGACUCGCGGCUUAUCAGCUUGUUGGUGGGGUAGUGGCUUACCAAGGCUUUGACGGGUAGCCGGCCUGAGAGGGUGACCGGCCACAUUGGGACUGAGAUACGGCCCAGACUCCUACGGGAGGCAGCAGUGGGGAAUAUUGCACAAUGGGCGGAAGCCUGAUGCAGCAACGCCGCGUGCGGGAUGACGGCCUUCGGGUUGUAAACCGCUUUCGCAUGUGACGAAGCGUGAGUGACGGUAAUGGGUAAAGAAGCACCGGCUAACUACGUG
rnacentral:rRNA from 1 species